rnacentral:lncRNA from 1 species
CGGCCGGGCCGCACGGCGCAUGUAGUAGGGGCUGGGCGGCCGCUGAGGGUGAAUGAAGCGAGCGGGCGGCGGAGGAGGCGGCGCUGGGACGGGGAUGUGCCCGGCGGCCGCCCCGCGCCGCUGCUCCCGGGGCCCAGGCCGCCUGCGGACAACGCCCGGUACCGCCGCCGGGGGAGCGCGGGCGGGAGGGCCGCGGGGCACCGCCGCUCGGCCCCGGCGCUGACCGGAGCUCGGGGUCGGCUCGGUGUUGUUCGAUGCCCCCCCACCCCGGUAGGGCCGCGGGCGCCGCGAUCCGCGAGCGCGAUUCCCGGGGGUACCGAAGUCUGAAUUAAACGCGCUGGGAAACGUCAGCGCCCGCUGUAAUAGCGAUAGCGAUAAUAACGCGACGGAGCGGGGAGCGCGUUCCGCGCGGCGGCAGAGGAGGAAUUGCCGAGGAGCACUAACGGAGGAGCAAACAAGUCGGAAGCCGUUAUAUAACGCGCCGUGCGGCGCGGGGAGCGGCGGCUAUUUGGGCGCUGUUGACCGCACGCUGCGCGGCGGGCGCUCCGCGGGCAGCGCCGGGCCGAGCCGAGCCGGGCGGGGGGACGCCCCGCGCCGUGCCGUGCCGGGAGCCCCUCCGUGCGCGGGGCAGAGCGCUGCGGGGCUGCGCGUCCGUGCGGCGGCGCGCUGAGGGCUUUUAAUUUCGGUUUCGAGCCCUUCCGCCGCGGGAUCGCCGCGCCGCGCCUCCGGCCCUUCCCCCGCCUUGGAAGGUGCCGUGGGCCGGCGGCGCGGCCCCGGGUGCGGGGCCCUUCCCGCAGCCCCUCGUCGCCGGAGCCCGCCCGGCCCCGCUCCGCCGCGCGAUGAGAGCGCGCUGCCAUGGCAACAGACGGCCCCGGCCGCUCAGGUGUGCGCGCGCCGUGCGCCCGGCCGCCCCCGUGCCGUGUGCGGCGCCGUGUGCGGGGCGCGGGAGGAGGGGGCGGCGGCGGCCCCGCGCCGAGGCUCCGUCAGGGUGCCGCGGGCUCACGAAAACUUUGCCGCUGCUCCCCUCUCCCUGCCCGGCCGCUGUAGGCCUCGGGGCCGUCCGGCGCCGCGCUGUGACAUCGCCGGUGGGAAUGCCCGGUGUGUUGAGGGGCGGCUGGCUCCCUUCUCCCUUGGUUCAAAAACCCGAGGGGCGUGUAAUAUAAACGUUCUCUUCUCGGCAAACGACUCGUCGCUGAUACUCGGAUUGAUCUGAUUUUGCGUUUGUGCUCGUUAAAAUGCAGCGGAGCGACGGAACGGCAGGGCGGGAAACUUUCCGCCCCAGACGGCGUAGCGCCGUGCAGGAGCAGGCAGUGCAGCUCCGCGCUGCCCUCCGGGAGCGCUCGAGCGAGGAGCGCAUGCCGGCCUUCCGCCCGGUGGCCGCACACGGGCGCAGGCGUCGCUUUGUACGGGCACCGAAUCUGGCGCUCAGUCCUAACGCCGUGGGCCUGGAGCGGCUCCAGGGGCUGCCCGCGAGCCGCGCACACGGUGCGUAUCUGGGGUAGCUCCGCUUGUUGGACUCCGGCCAGGCGCAGAGCGGAGUAGCGGAGCUCAGGCGCUGAUCCCGCUGCCCGCGGCCGUCGUUUUCCCGGUAUCUUUCUACGGCAGAAAGCACCGUGGGAUUUUUGCCCCCUGCAGGAGCCGGGUUAGCCACGUGCGGGAGCGGUGAACUACUCCCGUUGCUAACCGCACGUGCAUCCGCGCUGCUACAAGGCGCAGCCCGGAGCGUUUCACGUCUCGGUGGUGAGAAGUUGCCGGCACCGUGCAGCACCGGAGCUCCCAGGCAGCCCGUAGGCCACGCUGACCGGCUCUCUGUGCCCGGGCUGCCUGCCUUCGGGGGGAACGUCCUCCCUCUGCGUGCCGAGGGGGCUGGAAGGAGGGCAGCCCGUGAAGAGGAGCGGUAGCAGAAGGUGAGCGCUCGCAGCACGGCUGCUCUCGAGCUGCCGCUGCGUGCCCGGUGCUGCUGGUGACGUGCUCCACGGAGAGGCAGUUCACCCGUGUGACUGAGAGCACUGGAAAACAGUUACUUAGUAAAGGCUGCCUCUGCAUAGUUAAGAGACUUCCUGCAAGUACACGGCGCAGCUCUUCUCCCUGGCCUGGUCUGAUUCACUUAGGAGAGGCCGAAGGAACCGGUCUUGUUUUAAGAGACAUUUACACAAGGCCUGGAAUUUCACUUAACAAAAAUUUUUAUGUAAUAGAUCCAGUGGCCUAGUUUCACCUUCAUUAAGAAAAUAGGCGCUAAAUGUGCUCACCUGGAAAGCAACUGCCGAUUUCAACAUUAGGAUGUGAAAGCAGUGGUCUCGGUGCCGUGGCUGGCAGAGCAAAACGAAGGCCCGGUUCCCCCCCGUGCUGAAGUUCAGCAGCACGUCUGGGGACGCAGCAGCGAGGGCUGUCAUUGCUCGUGCAGCGCUGGCUUUUGUUGUGGUGUGCUAAUUGAGGGGAAACGCGAUGAAGAACUGCGGCAGGGCUUAAAGGAAACGCGUGUCAGAAUUGCGGAGGGGCUGCAGCGCUGGCUGGGUGAAGGGCUGUGUGGCAGCUGUAGGGCUGCCUGGGGGCGCACCGGGUUGGGGCGGCCGCUGCACAGGUACGGUCUGGGCGCCCUGCGCAGCUCGGGUGGCAGAUGGAGCUGUAGGUCUCCUUGGAGGUACCCGUACCGACUCUGCUCUAACAAAUACCGACACAAUUAGCUGAAGAGGCAGCAGUCUGACUGGCUUGGCACAGGUAAACGCUGCAGCUUGCUGAAACGACGUGCUGUAUUCCAGUGAGUACUCCAUAGGAAGUUGUAUGCUUUGCUCAGCCUGAGCUUGCGAGCUGAAAAUCCUGAUCUCAUUCGGUUUUACUCAGGCAGAGGCACAGCGAUUUGGGAUCUGAUGUCAUACGCGCAUCUCGUUCGGCGGUUUGCAUUUUUCUAUGAGCUGAAGUUUUUCACACGGUUCUGGCUUAGCUGAUAGAUGAUGGAUGCUUUUACAUGUAAGAAACUUCGCAGUCUCCCGACCUCUGUAGAAAGGCAGAAACUGGAUCUGUGAGUGCAAUUCCUUUUUGAUCCCCCUGCGAACACUGAGAGGGUAAUGCUGGAUGCUUUCUGUUUUUCCCCUAAAAGCUGUAGUCUGAGAUGGCUCUGAAACACAUGCAAAUCUGUGUGCGUGUAUUGGUCCCAGCCUGCAAAGUUGCUUCAGCACACGUCCCAGCGAGGGUUUUGCUGAAUGAGGAUUGAUUAAAGAACCUAUCUGGAGUUAAGUAUGUGUGUAAAUCCUUCCGUAAAUAGGGACGAGUCAGCGUGCUCAUAAACUGAAACAACAAAAGUGCUUCUCAGUGAGGGAGAAACGGUCCCACUAAGUCCUUUUAUUGUCCCAAGAGUGAUAAAAAUAUUUGGUGAGAUUCCAAGUGGGGAAAAAAAAAAAAAAGAAAAAACGUAUUUAGUUGGAUAUGUGAUGUCAGCAGAAUGUCAGUGCCGUUGCGCUCAGUACUUCUGCUGAAGAAGAAUUCAGAAAUAGAAAAAAGAAGAAUGAUGCUGGUAGCAUUGGCCGUUGUUUGCAUUGUUUGAGCGUUUGCAGCACUGUGCACUGGCUCUGAUGUGCUGCGGUUAAGGACGAGGUAACACCACGUUCCCCUGGCUGACUGCAUUCACCCACUGGCAGCGGUUGCAGCAGUAUUCUGUGAGUGGUGCCCCUCCUCAGAUGACACACGUUCUGCUGGCCCUGAAGUCAGCUCGACUCGCGUGUGGUUCUUCACCUCGUUAAGGUCACAUUUAGGGAAGGAGCGCUCUGUUGGAAUAAGUGGGCUACGUUCUCUGCUGUAUGCGUGCGGUCUGCAAGACUGAAUCUAUAGUUUAUUUGUGCUUGAGUAAUAGCGAAGCAGUCGCUCAGGCUUCAUUAGGGUGUCUUAAGGGUGCUGUCAUUUGAGUCUUACCUGUGUUUUUGCUUUGUUUUAUUUCGGUUCCCACCUCCUCAACUUUGGGAUCGACAGUCACGCCGCAGGCCGAGCCAGACGGGCGAGCAAUACAAGCUGUGAAUUUAUUGUUGACACCUGCAGGACAGUGACCACCUUCGCCGUCGUCUUCGCCAUACAGAGAUGCGCUGUCAGUGAGAUCCUGGAGCCCAGGAAAGAGUUUUAAUGCAAAGCAUCAGAAAAAAAAAACCGCUGCAGCAUCUCAUGUGAGAGAGGGGAGAGAAGAAAGGAGACUCGCGCAGUAACAUCUCAAAACACUCAAAUGGUUUGAGGGAAAAAUGGCUGUGUGAAAGACAAGAAGCACGGGUGAACUGGACAGCAUUGUGGUGUGGCAGUUAAUGUGCUCCAUCCUAAAGGCGUCAUCUUCCUGGUCGGCAGUAAGAAAAUAGUUCUUGUGAUGAUGAUUUGAGUAUCUCUAAAAGAGGCUGGCAAACAGCUGCUGUUGCAUGUCUCAAACUUAGCUUUAGCAUUGCGGGACUGUGAGGAGGUUCUGAAUACCUGUAGUGCUGUUUGUAGCUGAAGCAAAGCUGAGGCUCUGCAGCUUUGUCCGGGGACUCUGUAACUGUUUGCAGUCUAUAGAGGAAACACAAGUUAGAAGUAAGUAUCUUUCAAUUGAACUGUGUUUCCUUCUCUGUUAAGCUCACUGCUCAGACUUCUAUUUCUGGUCUCUAGUUCUGCAAAUACGUAAAACCUGGACAAAGUGUCUGGCUCCUUAGCUGAGUUUUUUUCUUGACCCGUGUAGAAACGAAACUUUAUAGAGCUACUUCUUAUGAAGGAUGAACUAGGACUGCUAAUUCGUAUGCUUUACAUGCCUGUCAGCAGAGGGGCUGAGCUGUGACUUGAUUGUAGCUGAUGGGACUGUGCCUUGUGCUGACAGCCCAUGGGUGGAGGGUGGGGAAGAGCACUGAGUAAACUUGUGUGCAUGUUGUCUUCUGCUUGGGUAACGUACAGUGGAGCGGCUGCUCACCGUCUUGGGAGGCAAAUCGUAGUGGUUGUAACAGCACUGCUGUGUGUUGUCUGAUGCUUGGGAGCCUCUUGCUAGCCUCUUGUUAAAAACCAUUGGUAGAGGGUUGGAGACAGCCAGGUAAGACAGCAGUUAACACUGAAGAGCUGGAACGGGAAGUUUUGCGAGACUGCUAGAACUGUUUUCUCCUGCCACAGGACUUGGCAGCUGGAGCCCAUGUGGGAGCCCAUUGCUGCUGACCAGGAGCUCCUCGUGCUCUGGUGCAGGGCAGCUGUGGACAUGAGGAGACGUGCCACCCCACAGGCCGGGAGUCCUUCAGCAGCCAGCCGCCCUCUCCUCUGUUGCCUCUGCUACGUGUCCACAGCGUGGUUGCAGCAACAGACAGGGUGCUGCAGCUGCUUUGUUUGAAAUGAUAAUAUUUUCUGCUCUUACUGUGGAACGCUGCAGUAUUUUUUGUAAUUAUGGGCCGCGUGCCAGUAACGUACAAUAACAUUUUGCUCUUCCUGUCCUGUUGCUACUGUAGGCAUUCAUUCCAACUUGGGCCAUGUUUGCAGUACAUGGUAUUUUUUUUUCUGGACUCCGCUUAUUAUCUAUUGUGGAUAUUUUUGGAUUAUUCAUUGCUACGCACGUCUGUCCAUACAAAUCUAUCUCAGAAAGCACUUCAGAGAGUGACAGUCUCCAGCGAACAAGCAAUUGUUGUGGCUUUCACAGGAUUACGUUCUUGUGAAAGUAUGAGGCAAGAAUGAGAUGAAAACGAAGAUGAAAAUUGCUUUGUAAGUUUAAAAAUUGUUAUGGCUUUGAAAAUAUUUGAGGCAGAGACGAGGCCGGCCUUCCUUUGCGCGGUCGGUGCUAAGGACCUGGUGUGCACCAGAGCUGUAGGUGGCUGAAGCCUGUGGGCCGGCAGAAUCUGGGAGACAUUUACCAUUGUCGGAGCCUGUAAUGAUUCUCCGCAGCUUUGGUUUUAAGGAUUUUUUUCAUUUCCAGAGGAAAGUAGUCGUAACUUGGAAGACAGCUAGUGGCAUUCGUGCCAGCGAUUGUUUAUUAACGUUGUCAUGGUCUGGAGAUGAAAUUUUUGUGAAAGGGAAAUUAAAGUCCUAGACAUCAGAGUUCACAGCUAGCCAGCCUGCACGCAGCUUGUUUCUGGAAGGUAGAGGUCGAGUCCAAAAAGAGGAGAAGGAGGCUAAACACGAAGGAGACAAUUAAUUUGUUUCCGGUUAAUUUGGAACGAAAUAGUAUGCUUUAUACAAAAAGAACUGCGCUUUUCGUGUGUAGUUUUUGUGUCCUCGUACUGUGCUGACUCACCAAACUACUUCGGUUUCAGAGUCUGCAGUCUGCAUUUGGUUUAAAUUACCUUAGAGGCCUGCAUUUGCAUGCUGUUCUGUAAAGUGCUUCUCGCCUGCAGUCCAGAUUUCUUUUCUUUUUUCUUUUUUCCUUUUUCCUGUUCAGCAUUUCAUCUGACGUGCCUUUUUUCAUUUUCCAGGUCUCCGUUUUACUAACAUUUGCAACCAAUCACUGUGUGCCUGCUUGGGCCCCGUGAUAGGCAAAAAACAUGUUGCAGUAACAGAUAGAACGAGGAGUGAAUCACUUCUUUUUGCCUUUCAAUUAGAUUACCUAAAUCACUAUGCAGAAGUAUUCCUUUUUGUACGAUAGAGCAGCGUGAUUAGCUCACUGCCUUGACAAAGCGGUGGUGGAAGUGGAUGUAAUUCUUCUCCUAUUACAUCUUUAAUGAGCUACAAUUAAAAAUAGUGUGCUGGCAUGCCGGAGUAGAUGUGUUAUUCUCAGAACUUUAUUGAAGCCAUUUCUGCUGUUAUAUUUGGUUGGCACCGCGUUGUUCUAAAACCGUAAGAAUUAGAUAGCGGAAAAAUCUGCUUUUGCUAGGUGAAGGCUACUUGGGGUAAAAUAUAUCAACUAAAUAGGUACAGAGUCUGUGCUGAGUCCUUGGGGGCAAAGCUUUUGCUACGUGGUAAAAGAAAGUGAAAAAUAGAAUCACACAAUGCAGCAGGUUUCUGCAGAGCUCCAGUUGGGUCCCAGGUCUCUCGACACCUGUGGCAGCGAGUCUGAGUCACAGAGAGCACAAAACUGCGAAUCCUAAUACUCUCAGUACUCAAAAGCAUACCUACGUAGGAGUUUAAUUUCAUGCGCUUCUUUUAGCUCUGUGUUUUUUUUUUUCCCUCCCUCCAAACUAACAAAAUUUAAGAGUCAUUCUUAGAAUUUUGCAGAGAAAAUUUUCUCAGCGCUUGUGGCUCCGUGAAGGAUUGACAUCACUUAGAGCUUAAAAAAUAGCACUGUCAAUUUUAGCUUGACGGCAUUCCAUUCUCUGCUCCAAAAACCUGAUGAAUAACAAUGGAUGAGUCAAAGAUUUCUUGGAAUUUUUUUUCCCCCUUGUGCAAUUCCAUUGCCAUUUUUAGCACGGAGGGCAGUUCUCCAAAGAAUGUCUAUGUGCUUGAACUGUGAUUUCUUCAAAAUUCAGAACAAAAUCAAGUUGAGCGUCAGACGACAAGAAAACGUUUCUGUGUAUUUUGCUGACAUAGUGUGAGCUUUAUUGAGGAAUCCACAUGAAAAGGCAGGAGGUGUUUUACUGAUAGUUGUUUCAUCUCUGCUUCAGCAGUGUGAGUCUUGCCCUGUCACGCUGCUUCGUUGUGUUGUAAUGAGAUUCUGCUUAAUUAUUUACUGUAUCUUGUCAUAUCUUGUCAGCAGUGGUCAGGGCAGUGUCCUGAUAAAAACUAUCAGUGGAUUUGGGAGACUUCGGUUCAAUUUCUUUCUGUGUUGCAUGUUCCCUGUAUGAUCUCAGGUUGCUUGAAUUGUUGCUUCAAGGUCUCUUAAAGUGUGGGCUGCUCAGUUUUGCUGUGGCAAGCUGGUUUUCAAAUAGGUGAGUCCCCAUUACUCGCUUAGUUUAUCAGGAGUGGUCUUUCUGCCAGGAGGGAGAAGUCAGGAAGACUUGGAAGAAGAGGUAGACAAGAUGUUACUGUGCUUCUUGGUCCUUGCUUGGAUCAACUUAAGGCUGUUGUUGAACCACAGCAUCCUUCUGUCUUUGCCUUGGUUUGCCACAUGAUGAAUGAAGAUUGUAUCACUUUGGUAUUUUAGUAGGACGUUGAGAGUAGAAAUACAACAGAGAAUUGUGCAAAUACUACUGUUGUGUUAGUGAUGUAGUGUGUUUAAGGUAAGCAGAUCUUGGCAAAGUCGUUUGGAUUACUAUGAAUGAGAUCACCAACUCUGCCUAUUUGUUUUACAAAUGGCAGAAGUAGCCUCUAUCAGGCUUAAUCUUGCAUGUCAGAAUGAAUGGCCAAAGUAUAAAGACUCAUGAAGAAUUAAGCUGCUGAAAAGAAACCCAAGAGGAAGAUGGGUUAAAACGAUGGCAAGGCAGGAUCUGUAAUGUUUUUCUUCUACAAUAGAUAGCUUGUAUUUUACUAAAAAUUGGCCAAAAAGAGAAGGAAAAGUGCAGGGGUCCCCUUAACAGCUACCGUGUCGAAUUUGAAGAAUGAUUUGAAUUCAGUCAUUAAAGUGUGAAAUGGAGGGAUUUUAGUUCUGCUUGAAAUUGUGCAUCUCAAAUUAACCUUAGCUGCAGAAUCUCUGCUGACGCCCCCGUAAUGACACAUUAUUGGUACUAAUGGCUUCUUUGUGACUUGAGAUACAAACAGACAUUCUAGACAGAAACAUUUAGGCUUUGAACUAAAUAAGUCGCAAAGCGUGCAUUUCCACCUUGGUUUUCUAGCGACAAAGCCCAGCUCUCCUGGUGGCUGGUGCUCGUGAGCUGUUCUUUCCAGCUUGCAGACUCUGCUCCUUGUCCUGGCAGUUGUAGGCAGCGGAGUAAAAACCAGCUUUGCAAGCUUGGAAGAACAGGAGAGCCAUAAAUAUGAAGUGAGCGUGAAGCCCGGCCAGAAGUCGGGUGUUGCAGAGAAGCAGGACAAAGCCUGGAAUGCGGGCAUGGGACAGGAGGGGGAACUUGUAGCAGAUGAGUAUCUUCAGAGGAAAAAGGACCCAAAAUUGUGAGGGAAAUGGUCGAGAGAAGCCAGGAUUUACGGAGGAAAUUGCUAAAUAAGGGAGGGAUGAGAUUAAUAAAGAAUAUAACCCGCAGUGGCUGGUUAACCCCUUAUUGCCCUGUUGAUAUGCGAAGAGGUGAUCGUAUUUUUGGAGCUCUGCACUUCAGUCUCUCCUCUGAGGCUCGUUGGCAUAAUUUAGAAAACUCUGCCAAUGCCUGGAAUUUCACCCACAGGUGUUACCUAGACCCUGCCUUCGCAUCCAAAGGAUAAUCAUUAGUCGGUUGUUUUAUCUUCAUUUUCUCAAUGGGAUACCACGAUGUGAGAUAACUGUUGCCUUUCCUUUCAAGCUGCAGCUUUGGGAAUUUGCCUAAUUGCUGCGGCAGGGGCUGUGGAGAGGACCUCCUGCCCUUGGUUGUGUCCGUGGGAUCUGUUACAGGAGUGCCUGCCAUGGCUGCGUGACGCUGUGUGACUUGCCAUGGGGUCUGCGGUAUUCUGGAUCCAAGGCGGGAUUGCAUUUAAGUAUUAAGUAUGUAGAAUCAAAUACGGAUAAGUAUUCAGAUGUCUCUUUUGUAUUUCUCAAAGGAGGCAUGUUCCCAAGACUUUAAAAAAAAAAAAAAAAGGUAGGUAUGCUAUACAUCAUCAUAUUUACUAAUGCAUCAGGGGUAUUUGCAUGAAUAAUUAAGACACCAGUUAGGAUUGCCUCAGUAAUAAAAGGGAAUAUAUUCUGUAAUUUUUCUUGUCCUUUUCUUUUUGUUGACUGAUGGAUUGAUGGAUACCUUUUGUUGAUUGAUUAUCGAUUUCAUUCAUUUAUUUAGAACGUGCCCUAAAUAUUAAUGCAAAUCAGCAAGGUUCUGCUUUGCAUUAAAAACCUGUUGAAAGUGCUAAUAGAAUAACGUCAUAAUUCAGUAAUGAAGGUCUGAAAAACUGAGGCCCAGAACACUUAUCUAGUAUUUUGUAUUAAGUAGAUUUGCAAAAUACUUUGUUUGUCCUAAUUGCUAAUUCAAGUAAUAUUAAUUUGCUUUUUGUUACGAAUAGCCUAAUAGCACGUUGGAAAAACAAAAAAUAGAGGCAAUAAUCUACCUCAGAUUUUCCAUUCUAUUUGUAGUUUACCUUAAAUUAGUUGGAGACAGCAGGAAUAUGGUAGGCAAGUUAGAGGUAGAUACCACUUCUAAAACUGUGUGUGAAAAAACCCUAAAACUUCUGAAACUAAGAACUGAAAAGCACAAACAGAUGCAGUCCAAGUGACCUAAAGUUGGAAUUGUAGUAAAUUUCAGACGUGCACAUACACAAAAUCUUCUUCGUAUUUCUUAGCUCAAAUUUCUUCUGAUUUUUUUCUUCAAUUUUCCUUACUGUUUACAUUUAACUAAUUAACCUCUUUUCUCAUUUCUUUUCCCACCUUCACAAAUGCAUCAUUUAUGAAUAUGCUAUAAUGUAAAGAUGAACACUUGAAAAUGGGAUCAUAUUGUGGUGAUACUUUUUAGGGCCAUAGUUUUGUUUUCCAGCUAUGAGGAACAAUUUGUGAUGACACUUGAAUUAGUAUCGUACACUUCAGUGCUAUUCUUCUAGCCAUGCUUGAAAUGCUUAUUUUCUGCAUCGAGCUUAGUUUUAGAUGCAAUACUCUGAUGACUAGUAAUAAAUUAAUACAUAGGGUUGUGUUAUCUUCCUGGUGUUUAUGACACGUCACAUCUGAUGGUAUAUGCUAACCUCCUUCUCCAUCUCUGCUUUGCUUUGCAAUCUAACUUCGUCCUUUAACACUUUAUUAGCAUCACAAUAAUUGUAAUUGAUGAAGACAGGGAACAUAAAAUACAGUGGGUGCCUGAUGAUGCGUUUACUUUUUGUCCUUUAUUGUUUGGCUUGUAUAUGGUUUGGUUUCGGUGGUUUGUUAAUUUUAUUUAUUUAUUUAUUCUGUUUUUUUAAGCUGGGUGUUAUUUCAUCCCCAUUGAACAAUGGGAAUGGAGCAGUGCUGUCAACCAAGGCCUCAACGUAUUCGCAUAAUAACAAUAAAAGCUUCUUACGUAACUUUCGUCUAAUACUCUGCAAAUUGGAGCUCAUCCUUUCCAGUGUCGAGCAACUUUACCCACGCGUGUGCUGAUCCCAAACAGUGUUUUGUUUGCAGCAGAAGUCAGCCCCGUACACUGCUGGUGCUGCUGGAAGCCUCAGUAAUGAGGCAGAAUUGUGCCUUUGGAGGCUCCUUCCUCAGCCUGUCAGAUGCAGGUGCUGCUGAAACUUUGCUGUUAAGAAAGAGUUAGUUUGGCUGUGGACGUUGCCUCUCGCCAGUCUUAGUUUUAGCUCUGGUUCUAGGGAACAGUCACCUCUCUGGGCUUACUUCACAGUGCCCUGCUCUGGUGCCAUCGUGCAAGGUGAGCUAUAGCAAUUGUCUGCUUCACGCAGGGAUAUAAAAUAGUUGUCUCAAUACGAAAAGUGCUCUGUGAAAUUGUUCCACUUACUGUUGCUACGUGUAGCACCUACAAUGACUAUAAAUGAAGGGUAAUAAAGGGAAAAGAUCAUAUUAUUUCAGUUAGCUUACUUUGUGCGUGCUUGACGGCACUGUGUAUAGUAAGUUACAUAAUUUCCUGGGAUAGUCAGAUUUCUCCUUAUUUGUGUGGCUCUUUCUCUCGGCAAUAAGGGAAAGAAAAUACAUUAAGGAUCAGAAAAUGUGUCUGUAAAGCCAGGAAAAAUUGUCAGCAACAUCAAGAAGAGUUCUAAGUAUUUGGAACUGCUCUUGACUGAUCCUCCAAAAGCAACUCAAUUCCGGAAUAAUAGUGCCCUUCUGGGCUUCAUUUUAAGACAGUGCGAUCGUACUUAGGCAGGAUUUGCAAGGAUCAAUAACCAGCCCAAUGCGUUCUUCCUUUUCAUGACAGGUUCACUGAUGGCCAUCAGAGCAGGAGUACUGCAUCGGUCAGCAUAAAUGCAAGAAGCAGCAAUUAGCGUGUGUGAAGUUUGUCUCCAUCAUAGCAUGCAUUGUAGCACGCAGGACUUUCACUACAUGAAUGCGAGGAGCCAUGCUGUGCUGAGGCUGAAUGUGGGGUUUCUGUUCCUGGAGGGAAGGCCCGGUGGUGUCAGUGACCAGUGUGUACUGUUGUUUUUAUCAUCUGCCUUCCUCGGUUAACUUGGCUCUGUGACUUUUUAACCUGCUGUCCGUAAGCUGUUGUUUUACAAGCUCAUUAAGGUGGCUGGGAUGGUGAAAGCAGCCAUCCUGCCCCCACCUCCGCCCCUACCCCCCUUGGGUGCUCGUUAGAUCGUUUCCUUGUGCUGACAUAAGCGUUCUGUAGUCAUACUCUGAGCCAGGCCUGGGAAAUGAUCCAAGUUAAAAAUAAUCCCUCAAAAAAAAAUGGAAAAUAAGAUUUCAGCAGGACCUGUUACUGGACACAGCACACCGGCGUGCGGUGUCAGCUUGAGAAAACAGGUCUAUCCUCAGCGUGCUGCCUGUCUUCCUCGAUUUCAUCGGCCUGACUGUCUUGUUGGUAUUUUCUGAAGCUGUGAUUCAUUUUCAGACAAGUUUACCCCAAAAAUGGCAUUUUCAGAGGUGCGGAGGUCCCUUGAGCUUAGUGAUGGAGUAGACCCCAGCUGACUCUGCUCAGCAGAGGCCCAGGGGAUGUCCUCUUCAGGCUUCCUCUUGAGGACCGGUCUCGAUGUCCCAUACCCCCAGAUGGGGGAAUCAACUGUUGUACUGCUGGCACGAGAAGAGGGCAGUGCUCCAUGGGGAAUACUGUUCAUUUCUGGAGGUGGGGGCACCUCCCAGGCUCUGGCUGUCCCGGGAGGACAGGGCGAUGCAAUUGCGAGUUAGAGAUUUUGAGUUUUCUUCUUGUUACUUAAUGCCCUCUGGGGAAUCAAGGGAAGCCAGGUACAUUUGGAGAUGAGACUCCCUAUUUGUUUGGGUGGCCUAGCUGUGAAACUCUGCAGCCAAGGAGGUCUUUGUAGCCCCAGGUUGGCAUGGCCUCCCUCAGAUGUCAGGUGGCACCUUUGUGCCCACAUGGCUGCUGCCUCCUGCCCUGUGCAGCCACGUUCCUCUUGUGCUGCCUAGGAUCACCUGUGUGGCCCUCCUCAUGGCACGGGGAGCCUGCUGUGCUCUUCUCUGCGGAGGAACGAGUAAGAAGACACACGUUGUGGUUUCCUGCUGUUCUGCUUUGUCACCAGCCCACCGGUAAAUAUAGCUUGCGUGUGGUUAUAAAUUCAUUUCUCUCGUUAUGGGCGGUUGUUGUGCAAUAAUUGUGUAGAAAUUACAACUGAGGGUAGUUGUGGAUGGUUCUUGUUAUUUUUGCGUUUGUUUUAUUUGUUUGUUUGUUUGUGUAUUUAGUGCCCUUUGGUGGUUGAGUAGGCACUGGUGUCUCUCUAACUAAGAGUAGAGCCACAAGUAGAUGUCCAUUGGGAUCCUGUGCGGGCAGAGGCACCAGCUCACAGGCUGCUGGCUUCACAUGGCUCCCCUUGCAAGGCUGCUAGGAGCUGCAAGGCAAAGCAGGCCUGCCUUACGCAGACACUUUCUUCUUCCUUCUACAAUGCAAGCAUAUGUUCCUUGCCACCCUUGCAAGUUCUAUAUGGGGUCCCUUGCUCAGACUGUUUGGGUAUGGAAUGAAAGUAGGGGUGGGUUGUUUUUUUUCUCUUCUCCUUUCCCUUUAUUUAAAAUUCCAGUAAAAUAGAUGCAGAGCAACACUGUUUGUUGCUGCUGUGUUCUCAUUUUCCUCCCAUCCCUCCUUUAAUUUUAAAUUUUCCCCUGCACUGUGUUUGCAGGCCAUAUGUGUCCUUUGAACUAUGAGGAAGCUGUGCCAAAAGGAAGCCUUCCUCUCCUCCCCUCCUCCCAUCACAGAGCUGCUCUUAGAUAAUAGCAGUUAAUAUACAAUGUGGAGCAAACCCAGGUGUGAAGUUGGAGUGUUGUGCAAAUUUCACAAGAACUUUAGGAAAGCUUGCACUUGGUCCUUGCUUUUUAAACCUGCUGAAAUCCUUGAAGCACCAGGCAGCUGCUGCUGCUCGGAGAGGUGUUUACAACGUGAACUGGCCUACCGCGCCCUUUGCAAGGCGCAGGGACGGCUGGAUCGGCUGGCAGGAAGCCACAGCUCCAUCUGACCACUGAAUGCAGGAAGGUGGAGCUGCCUUUCAUUGUGUCACGGCGCUGGGCAGAGGUCUGACAGGAGAACAAGCAGCUUUACUAGCACACUGCAGUGCCAGAGCCCUUCAGUUAUGUUCACUGCAUGCUGCAGGCUGACGAGAGUGGGAAAGGUAACCUUGUGGUGCUAAACAAAAGGCAGGGCAGUACCUGGCUUCAUUGGCAAGUUGAGAGAAGAGGGGAGCCUUGCUGGGCCAGCAUGCAGCUGGAUAUUGGCAGUGCCAGUAGGAGAGAACGGCCCGUAAAUGGGAUUCACUGCUGUGAUGGUCUUGAGUUUUCAAAGGGAACGUACUCCUUGGAGCAGCGUGUCAGGAAGCAGAUGCCUUUUGGGUCCUGCAGAUAAGUGUCCUGUCCAUUAAAACAGGUUUCUAACCUCAAUUCCCAAUGGAGUUUUAAAUGGGGAGAAAUAGGAGUAUUAAUUAGUGCCUCAUUAAAUAUGAUAGUCAAGUAUGAUAAUUUUUCUUGGAAGGAUAAUGUAUUAAAUGAGUAAAAAUACUCUCCAUUAAAAAAUGAAUACAAAGUCAUUUUAAACCACAAAGAUUAUUGUACAUCUCUGAAAAAUUAAUGUGAUUAAAGCAAAAUAUAUUUAAUAAAUUAAAAAGACCCUCUUAGGCUGUUUAACUUGUUGGUCUCUAAUUAAUUAUUCUCAAAUAUAGCGCUUCAGGAUGCAGGGACAGGAAAUGAUUUCUCCCCCCAGUCCAUUUUUCAGUUUGCAAUUAUCCAUUCGAGGUUCGGGUUGUGGGGUUUUUUUUUUGUUCUUUUAAAUCUUUUCUGUUGUCGUAUCUCAAAGAUGAGACACGAGACAAGGAAGAGCAGUGAUCACAAAUAAUACAGUGAUUUCUUUGAUGGUUUUGCUUGAUGUGACUGACUUUUGUGCCAAUAUCAAGAUCUGGACCUGAGAAGGAAUAUUUUCAAAGGCUAUUUUUCUCUUUUCCCUUUUGCCUGGGACAUGAUGUAGGACGCAUCUGCUAGGAUCACACAGCUUCUUUUAGUGACUUCAUAAGUUAAAUAAUUUUUUUCCACUGUUUGCCUCUGAGAUUAGAUUUGAAUUAGAUACUUCCUUAACUCUCACCUAAACUCAUUCACAUUCAGCUGCUCAAUUAGAAUUAUUCUGUUUGUUGUGGCAAGCAGUAAAGAAAAAAUGAUAGGAGCUAGAGGGAGUGCCCAUGCAGUUCAUGUAUGUAUUUUGGGAGGACAUAAGCAGUAGAAAAUAAGGGCAAAAGCUUGAUGUGAAAUAGAGCAGGUAGUGGCUUUACAGCAGCCUAGUUAAAAAACUUCUGCUUGUCAUUAGUAAUGAAGGUACUUCCUCAACAGUCCCAACAGAAACAGUGCGUGGUAAUGCUGUCUUAUUGACUGCAGGUGUAUGAUGCUUGAGUUCCUCCAAACAUUUCUUCCUUGCAGGUGGUCGUCAGUACAGAUUUGGAGAGCCCUAGCCAUUGGUUCUCAAGGUUUACCAUUUGAUUAUCGUGUAAAUACCAAAGAUACCCACAUAAGCUUUUGAAAAAUCUGUUGAAAAUUGUCCAACAGGCUGAAGAAUCUUUCCAGGGAGUCCGGGUACUAUGCUGUGCUGUCUCAAGGUGCCUUCUAAUCUCUCUGGCUCUUUGAUCCUGAUGACUGCCACCUUUGUAUUGGUGUUUAAGAGGAGAGUCUUCCCACCUUUCAGCUUUACUCUUCUGUCCUGUGUGGCUUGGCCAAGCAUAGACAACUGAGGUGGCAGCUGUUGCCUUCUAGUCACAGGAACCUUGAUUUACGUUGUAUCUCCAAGUGCUAUCUCAACAGAGCUGUUACAGGAACAUCAGCUACCUUACUGGGGCAGCUGUGUGUGAGAAGAUUUCCCUCAUCUAUGGGACACAUGCAGAGCCUGCAAUGGCUGGGCAGCUGUGUAUUGAAGCUUUUGAGGCAUUUUUCCUUUUGUUUGAGAAGGUGGUGGUAGGCAGGAGUUUUUGGUGCUAUGUGAAAAUAGCUACCCUAGAUACCUCCAGAGUUCAAGGAACCUGUCGUCGGUGUCGAGCUGUGCUCUCAUACAUUUAUGUGAGCUCUGUUGUUAUUACACAAAGUACUUCCCAAGACGAAUGAUCUGUGCUGCUGUAAUGUUCCAAUGCAUGAUUAAUAGUCUUUUCUGGUCUUAAAUGAGACCAAAUGUAUCCGUUGACUUACCUUGAAAAUCCUCUUAGUGCCAAUGAUCUCAUUUUCAAAACCACCUCUAAGGUUACAACUCUAAUGCAAGCACCUACACCACAGCUGCUGUAAUGACACCCCCAGAGGUAGCCAUGUACGUGUGCAUGAGCAAAAAGGAAUUUGCACAUCUCUCAGUAUGCCAGUGAGCUUCCCUUACUGGUUGUGCCUGCUUCGCCAAUGCUAGCAGAUAACGCAAUCAGGUGCGUGUAUAUAUACAUAUACAUGGUUGGUUUUUUUUCUGAAAGUGGGACAUUGCAGCUCUAAAUUCAUAAAAUUGCAAGGGCAUAACAAAGAGUAGGUCUGUCCAGCAGCACUGUUAACUUUUUCUUAUUAUACCCCUGGAAUUCUGUCUGACAUGGUCCCUCACUACAAAUACUUUAUUUGCAAGGAGCUCUGGUUAAGCUAGCAAUUUACUGUGGCAAUGUGUGAGACUAAGCGUACCGGAAAAUAAAGAAUAGUGCAGCAUUUAUGAUGAUAAAAUAAUUUCAGGUCAUGUCUUUUCUUUCUUUGUGUAGCUUUUCUUUUAUUACUGGCACUGAAACAGCUCUUGCAGUGCAAGUGAGAAAACCAGACUGAACCUCCUGUUUUUUUGUUGGGCUCCCAGCUGGAAACCCCUCCCUCGAUUUUCCAUUGAUAAAGUGUCACAAAGGGAAUCCAGAGCAGAGGAAUAGGAGGAAGUAGAACAAUGCGAAGUCUUGGACUUGAAUCACAAAAUGAGUUAACUAAUGUAGAUGCGGCGUUGAACGAGCUGCUGCUUCUUUCAUGAUCAGGUUCAUUUAACUGUGGUCUUAGCGUUUGGGGCUGCCUCUAAGUCAUGUAACAAAUCGACUAUUUAUUGUCUUUUCUUUUACUGCAGAGGCUCUUUAAAAGGAAAUUGCAGAACAUUUUCUUCUCUCCCUUUCUAUAGACUGUUUUAUCUGACCUUCAAGAAUUCAGAGUCACAACGGGGGCCAAGAAACCUCACGUACAAGAAUGCUUUUAUUGUUAAUGUCUAAAAUAUGUCUUUCACUAAUAAAAUAAAGGUGUGACAUUUAUAGAGCUCUAAUAAUGAACACAGCAGUAGGAAGGGCCCCGGCUGCAUACUGUUCAAAUUAAGUUGAUUUCAAUGAGACGAGAAACAGCCUUGUUCGAUUGCAGGUGAGGGCAUUUGCUGAUUUCCAUGAGGCUUGAAAAACUCCCAGGAAUAUUUUGCAGGUAUUGAGAAGUAACUUUUUAGAGCACUUGUUUCAGUUAAGUUGCUACUUAGUACUCUGGUGGCAUUUGGAGGAGGAGGUCUACUUGUGUUUAAUUCCAAUUGCAUGUCAAGUGUAUGCUGUUUCUGUGACUCUCUUGUCCUUGCAUCACUAGAACAGUAGCUGUACUACCACUGCUGUUUGACCACCGUGUUGAGGUGAAAGAGAUGGCUGAUGUUUGCCACAGUGUCUGCAUGAGUCAAAGGCUGGUGUUUGCACUAUCACCUGCCCACUGUGUGAUGCAGGUGUGCUUCUGCACGUGGUGGUGGUGAGGAGGGGGCACUGGUGUCUCUCUCCUACAUCCCUGUGAAGCGCUGUGGUUGUCCUCUUGGGGUGUCUUCCCACAUGAAAGAGUUAAGUGCUGCUCUUCUCUUUUCCUCCUGUUCUCUUUGCUAUCCUUUCUUUUUCUUCCCUUUGCUCUUGAGCUUGCCAAGGUGGCACAGAACCGGAUGUUGAAGUCCACUCUCUUGUUCUGACAUUACAGUGUUGUUGUGGUAACGAGACUACGCACAAUUAUUUGAAAUGUGAAAUGAUAAUAUAGCAAGAAUCUGUUAGGCAAAGAACAAAUAAGUGUGAUAUGGCUGGCCUGUCAGCAUGUCAUUGUGAGGGGAUAAGGAAAAUAUGCAAAAUAAUAAAUAUUCGAGAAGGAAGACUGUAAGGAGUGUUUAGAUUUCUGAUCUCUGUAUCUGAUCCUAUAAAUCAGAGCUGUUGUAUUUUUUUACUGGUUAUCUCAUUAAAUUUUUAUUGGGCCAUCCUUCCUUCAAGAAAAAAAAAAAAAAAAAGGAAAUGCAAGAGGCAAAAAUAAUUUGAGUUGAAAAAGCUCAACAUCUACUAAGAAUCAUAGCGUGCUCUGUAAAUAAUGCUUUCAAGUCAAACGGACCGAGUCCUAGACAGGCUAGCUGGUGGCAUGAAAUGAUAGAAUUUGUCCAGCACUUUGACUCUGCAGGGUUUUUUUCUUCUUCUCAGUACAGGGAAAUAAGAGAUAGUCAGGAACUUAGUUUCUUGGGUUUCUUAUUGCCACUGCUUGGCCCAACGUGUUAUUUCCAUGCAGAGAAAUGGACUUGCCAUGCCUUGCCUGUUGUGAUGAAAAUACAUGUUGCCUCUCACGUGUCCUUACCCGAGGUAUAAACUGGUAGUAUGAGUAAAUAGGGCAACACAGGCCAUUCAUUUCGAUGGCUGUUCUGUAUAAUGUAUAGUAACUGCAGGCAAAUAACAUAUACAGCAAAGGGAAGUGAUGAAAGCCAAUUCUUACUAGAUUGAAUGAGAUACCGCUUGAUGAAUGAUUAAAAAUAAAACUACUAUGUAUUAUCCUUGAAACACUCAGAUAUGGGAAAAGCGUGUUAUCUGCAAAAGUGGGCAGAGCAUCCAGUGAAUCAGUGUUUUGAACUUAUGCAGGGCUUCCAGACAAUGAAGGGAAGGAAAACAGUAUUGCUUUUUAAUGCUCUUGCUGUUAAAAAUAAUGUAACAGAUAAAGGAGGUAGCACUCUGAGGGUGUUUUUUUGUGCUACAUAAAACGAUUAGACAUUUAUCAGAAAUUCUGGCAAUUGGGUUGAGCUGUGAUGCUGUGGACAAUCGUAACACUAAUAGGGUGGGAGCAGUAUAAGCAAUAGCUACAAUUAUAGCUGCAGUUACUAAGAGAAAUCCAUGCUCUGUUAUGUUAGUGCAGCAUUAACCCCAUGCAACGCUAUAGGCUUGGGGUAGAGUGGCUGGAUUGACUGUGAAGAGGAAAGGGACCUGGGGGUGUUGGUUGAUACUUGGCUGAAGAUGAGCCGACACUGUGUCCAGGUGGCCAAGAAGGCCAGUGCCAUCCUGGCCUGUAUUAGAAAUAGUGUCACCAGCAGGAGCAGGGAGGUAAUCAUCCCCCUGUACUCAGCACUGGUGAGGCCGCACCUUGAGUAUUGUGUUCGGUUUUGGGCCCCUCACUACAAGAAAGACAUUGAGGCCCUGGAACUUGUCCAGAGAAGGGCAACAAAGCUGGUGAGGGGUCUGGAGCGCAAGUCUUAAGAGGAGUGGCUGAAGAAGCUGGGUUUGUUCAGUCAGGAGAAGAGGAGGCUCAGGAGAGACCUCAUUGCACUCUACAACUUCCUGAAGGGAGGUUGUGAUGAGGAUGGGUUUGUCCUCUUCUCCCAGGCAACAAACAGGACCCGAGGAAAUGGCCACGAGUUGUACCAGAGAAGUUUUAGAUUAGACAUAAGGAAGGACUUUUUCUCUUGGAGAGUGAUCAGGAGCUGGAAUGGCCUGCCCAGGGAGGUGGUGGAGUCGCCGUCCCUGGCAGUGUUCAAGAGGCACCUGGAUGAGGAGCUAUGAGAUAUGGUUUAGCAGCUUGUGGUUGCAAUGGUAAUGGGAGGACGGUUGGACUACAUGAUCUUGUAGGUCCUUUCCAACCUUGUGAUUCUAUGAUUCUAUGAUUAUCCAUCUACAUGAAAGGCAGCAAUAUCUUAAAGAGGCAGAGGAGGAAGGCUGUCCUCUCUUCCUAUUUUGGUGUCCACCUGUUGUUUUGCUUUGUUGUUGCUGUCUUUUUGAGAAAGUUGGUGUGUGUGUGUGAUUCUUCUGAGAGGUCAAAUCCAGUCUUUCACAAAACAGAUGAUUGUUACGUGUCUAACAGGAGUUUCAGAAAGAGAGCAAGUAUGCACCGAGAUACAUACAUUAAAAAAUACUGCUUGUGUGAAAGCAAAUUGGAAGUGCUGAAUUUAUAUUCUUUGUAUCUUACUAAAAUUUAUGGGUCAUACAUAAAUCAUUCAAAGAGUACCUUUCCCCGCAUUUAUCAUCAGGUUGUUUUGUGUCACAAGCCAUUAUUUGCUUCUUUUCAGUGACAUUUUUUGUUUGUUUGUUUUUGGCAGUUGUCUUUUAUUCAUUAAGGAGUUUAUAACAUACAGACAGAACCCUCUAAAAGUACUGGCAUUUAAGCUCUUUUUAAGGAAUGUGUUUACACUUUGGAUAGAGAUCAACUGAAGCCUGCUUUAGUCAAAUUGGGUAUGAAGUAAUGGAAGGCUUGACUUUUCCUUCACUUCAUGGAUUCUGGCUGUUCAGCAUGUAGGAUGGGCACCUCAGUCAUUGCAGUUUCCAAAUGUAAAAAGGGGGUGCACUCAGGAACACCAGGACAUAAAAAGCUAUUACUAAGACUGUAUUUGCAUCCUGUAUCUUAUAAAUGAAGGAGGCUGAUGUGAAUUGACAUACUCCCAUCAUGUAAUUUUAGGCCAAUAGAGAUAGAAUCUGUCCUCAUGCCCCAUAUUUUUUAAGAAAGUGAUGGAAGUUGUCUCUGUAUGUGUGUUUCUUUCCUCCAAUACUAUGUAGCACAAAGUGUUCCCUACUGAUCCUUCUAUUUUCCUGUAGGGUAAUGAAACAGACUUUAUCAGAGUCUGACCCUCUUUCCCUUCUUAGAAACCUUCUUUGUUACUACUUAGUAUUUUCUAAUAACUUCUUUUCAGCACAAAAAUAGUCUUCCCAUUCCUAUGCUUCCAGUUAGAGCAACAGGAUAGGAUGUCUUUACUUCUCUCCUUUCUUGCCCCUCCCUUUGGAUUCAUAACUCUGGAGUUGUUUGAGCUCUAGCUCAAGUUGUGACUUCAUUAACAUGAUGCAAAGGGCUCAGCAAAAUCAUACAGCUCUUUGAGGAGAAAAGUGUUACAUUUCCAUAGUGCAUAGUGUAGGAGAAGGUUAGUGCAUGUUGUGCUAGGGCUUGCUGCAUUUCUCCAUGUGACUAGCUAGAUGGUUUGCAAAUCCUGCUGUGCGACUGCAUGGUCUAUUUCUCCCUGUACUUCCAGUGGGUAACGUUGCACCAAAUUGGAUAAGCCAUUCCCAUUCAAAAUGUCCUAUUUGUUUUGCUUAAUUUCCAGCGAGGAUAUAAUGUGAUAGUAAAAUUGUUCUAUAAAGGGUCAUACACUGUUUUACUCUCAGUUUGUGAGGCUCAGACAGAAGGAAAUGAUCAAAAACACUCGAUGCUCAUUAUUUAUUAAUUGAGUUCUGGCAGAGCUUUUCUACAUUCUGGCUUUUUGUUCGUUUGUUUCUUUGUUUACAAACAAAAAAAGAAAAGCACAGUUCACAAAAACUGAAAAGGGAAAUUUGUUAACGAAGAUUUCUGACAAUUAAGAAGCAGCAUUUUGUGGGGUUUAAGUGAAAGUGCCUUGCAGCACAGGGAGGACAGUUUGGCACAGCAGUGUCGCUCUCUCUGUGUUGAUCUUGAAAGGGAAGAAUAUUUCAGAGAACAGCAGACCAUGAAUCUUAGAUACAGUCAUGCUGUGUUACCAGAAAAUAUUUGCACCAGUAAGUUCUGCGUUGGAAAUGUUUUUAACUGCUC